UGGGGAAUCUUGCGCAAUGGGCGAAAGCCUGACGCAGCAACGCCGCGUGUGUGAUGAAGGUCUUCGGAUCGUAAAGCACUGUCGGGAGGGACGAAUAAGGGCCGGGUGAACAAUCUGGUCCGAUGACGGUACCUCUAAAGGAAGCACCGGCUAACUCUGUGCCAGCAGCCGCGGUAAUACAGAGGGUGCAAGCGUUGUUCGGAAUUAUUGGGCGUAAAGCGCGUGUAGGCGGUCUCGCAAGUCGGAUGUGAAAGCCCUCGGCUUAACCGAGGAAGUGCGUUCGAAACUACGGGACUUGAGUACCGGAGAGGGUGGCGGAAUUCCCGGUGUAGAGGUGAAAUUCGUAGAUAUCGGGAGGAACACCAGUGGCGAAGGCGGCCACCUGGACGGUCACUGACGCUGAGACGCGAGAGCGUGGGGAGCAAACAGG
rnacentral:rRNA from 1 species